rnacentral:tmRNA from 1 species
GGGGCCGAUUAGGAUUCGACGUUGAUUAGAAGAUAGAUCAUAGCAUGUCGAGCACCAGUUAGCUCGAUAAUCCACUGGAAAAAAUAUAAACGCCAACAAUUCGCGUUUCAAGUUAGCAGCCUAGAGCUCUGACCGUUGCACUGGUUUUUUUCUUGGGCCAGAUGAUACUUGUAUCAUAGCAACGUCAUAUACAAGAAAUAUGUUUGCAAUAUUUUCACGAUAUGCAAAUUGAAUAUAAAAGUGAAUCGCCUUAUUAAAGGCCUGUCAAUUGGCUGAUUAUAAGGUUAAAUCCAAUAGAUUGACUACACAUGUAGAAAUGUCAUUAGAAGAUUAACGGACGGGGGUUCAAAUCCCCCCGGCUCCACCA